rnacentral:lncRNA from 1 species
CUUAUGGGGCCGAACCCCUCUGCGUCCCUGUGGGUCAGCAGUGGGGGGGGAACGGGGAUGGGGAGGGGAAUUGGGAUUGGGGAUGGGGUGAGGAUGGGAAUUGGGAUGUUGAUGGGGAUGGGAUUUGGGAUGGGGAUUGGGAUGAGAAUUGGGAUGGGAACUGGAAUAGGAACUGGGAUGGGAACUGGGAUGGGGAUUGGGAUGGAAACGGGAUAAGGAUUGGGAUGGGAAUUGGGACAGGAAUUGGGAUGGGGAUUGGGAUGGAAACAGGAUGGGAACUGGGAUGGGAACUGGAAUGGGAAUGGGAUGGGGAAUGGGAUGGGAAUGGGAUGGGGAUUGGGAUGGGAACUGGGAUGGGAACUGGGAUGGGAACUGGGAUGGGAACUGGGAUGGGAAUGGGAUGGGAACUGGGAGCGGUGGGAUGGGAACUGGGAGCAAUGGGGUGGAAUGGGGAGUAACGGGACGGGAACUGGGAGUGAUGGGACGGGAACUGGGAGUGAUGGGAUGGGAACUGGGAGCAGUGGGGUGGGGGCAGUAGGAUGGGGGCAGUAGGAUGGGGAUGGGAGCAGUGGGGUGGGGAUGGGGGCAGUGGGAU